AAGAGAGAAUGCCGGUAUGAGUAGCGAGAGGCAUGCGAGAAACAUGCCCGUCGAAAGCCCAAGGUUUCCUGGGGAAGGUUCAUCCGCCCAGGGUAAGUCGGGGCCUAAGCCGAGGACGGAAGUCGUAGGCGAUGGACAGCAGGUGUAGAUUCCUGCACUACCGAUGGAAUGAAGCAGUGACACAGAAGGAUAACUCGAGCAGGGUGAUGGUCAACCCUGUGCAAGCAUCAAGGUUGGGUUGUAGUGAAGUACGCAAUCCUAUAAGCUGAGGUGUGAUGCGGACCGAAAUUUCAGUAGGGAAGCGAGUGAGUUCACGCUGGCGAGAAAAGCUGCUAGUAUAUCCAAAGGUACCCGUACCGGAAACCGACGCAGGUGGGCGAGGAGAGAAUCCUGAGACGAACGGGAGAACCCUUGUUAAGGAACUCGGCAAAAUGACCCCGUAACUUCGGGAUAAGGGGUGCCUGCGAGAGCAGGCCGCAGAGAAUAGUCACAAGCGACUGUUUAGCAAAAACACAGGUAUCUGCGAAAGCGAGAGCUGACGUAUAGGUGCUGACACCUGCCCGGUGCUGGAAGGUUAAGGGAACAUGUUAGAGCAAUCGAAGCAUCGAACCGAAGCCCCAGUAAACGGCGGCCGUAACUAUAACGGUCCUAAGGUAGCGAAAUUCCUUGUCGGGUAAGUUCCGACCCGCACGAAUGGUGUAACGACUUGUGAGCUGUCUCAACAGGGGGCCCGGUGAAAUUGAAGUAUGGGUGAAGAUGCCCAUUACCCGCGACUGGACGGAGAGACCCCGUAGAGCUUUACUGCAGCCUGAUAUUGAGUUUCGGUAACUGAUGCACAGGAUAGGUGGGAGUCUGAGAGACAUGGGUUUCGGCUCAUGUGGAGACGCUGUUGGGAUACCACUCUUCGGUUACUGAAAUUCUAACAUAGCUCUGUGAAACCAGAGGAUGGACAGUGUCAGGUGGACAGUUUGACUGGGGCGGUCGCCUCCGAAAGAGUAACGGAGGCGCCCAAAGGUACCCUCAGAAUGGAUGGAAACCAUUCGAAGAGCGCAAAGGCAGAAGGGUGCCUGACUGCGAGAUUGACAAAUCGAGCAGAGACGAAAGUCGGGCUUAGUGAUCCGGCGGUAUUGAGUGGAAAAGCCGUCGCUUAACGGAUAAAAGCUACCUCGGGGAUAACAGGCUGAUCUCCCCCAAGAGUCCACAUCGACGGGGAGGUUUGGCAC
rnacentral:rRNA from 1 species